GCAUUGGUUUAGAUUUAUGGCAGGUCCAUCCCCUUGGGCCUCUCAGAGUGUCCCAUGCCAUAGCUAGCUGUGGCCCUGAACCACUGCCUGGCUCUAACUAGUGGGUUGUGUGCACAAAAGCAGAUCACACAGUG